GAUGAACGCUAGCGGCAGGCUUAACACAUGCAAGUCGAGGGGUAACAUUGUAGCUUGCUACAGAUGACGACCGGCGAACGGGUGCGUAACGCGUAUAGAAUCUGCCUUGUACAGGAGGAUAACCUUUAGAAAUGAAGACUAACACUCCAUAAUGUUGCGACUUGGCAUCAAGAUGUAAUUAAAUAUUUAUAGGUACAAGAUGACUAUGCGUUCUAUUAGCUAGAUGGUAAGGUAACGGCUUACCAUGGCGACGAUAGAUAGGGGGUCUGAGAGGACUAUCCCCCACACUGGUACUGAGACACGGACCAGACUCCUACGGGAGGCAGCAGUGAGGAAUAUUGGACAAUGGAGGCAACUCUGAUCCAGCCAUGCCGCGUGCAGGAAGACUGCCCUAUGGGUUGUAAACUGCUUUUAUACAGGAAGAAACCGAUCUACGAGUAGAUCCUUGACGGUACUGUAAGAAUAAGGACCGGCUAACUCCG
rnacentral:rRNA from 1 species